CCCCACGAUAGCUUUACUGGCAACAUCCACCACCAGCGGCGUGGCAGUGACGCCCACCCAGGUGCCGAUGGUCGGCAGCCAGAUGACCGGCAGGCCAGGCGGCUUUAUGUCGGCAACAUCCCCUUCGGCCUGACGGAGGAGGCCAUGGCGGAUUUCUUCAAUACCCAGAUGCGAUUGGCUGGCUUAUGUCAAGGUCCCACCAAUCCCGUCCUCGCUGUUCAGAUAAACCAGGACAAGAACUUUGCCUUCCUUGAAUUUCGGUCCGUGGAUGAGACCACGCAGGCAAUGGCCUUCGACGGCAUCAUUUUCCAGGGUCAGUCGUUAAAAAUCAGGCGGCCCCCACGACUAUCGCACCCCUGCCUGGCAUCUCAGAGCAGCCCGCCUUCCACGUACCAG